CACGUAGGCACCAAGCGUUAUCCGGAUUUAUUGGGCGUAAAGAGCUCGUAGGCGGUUCGGUAAGUCGGGUGUGAAAACUCUGGGCUCAACCCAGAGAGGCCACCCGAUACUGCUGUGACUAGAGUGCGGUAGGGGAGCGGGGAAUUCCUGGUGUAGCGGUGAAAUGCGCAGAUAUCAGGAGGAACACCAGCGGCGAAGGCGCCGCUCUGGGCCGUAACUGACGCUGAGGAGCGAAAGCGUGGGUAGCAAACAGG
rnacentral:rRNA from 1 species